rnacentral:sRNA from 1 species
CACUGGCGUCUACGUAUGUGUGGAGC